AGAUGUGACUUUUUUCAUGAACCCUUUGACUUUAUCCUUCAUGUCACCCAUUUUUCUAUAACACCCUCUCACCAAAAUCUUUCAAUCAAUCAAUUCAAACCAAAUUCAGGAACAAUUCCACCUCUCUAUAUAUAUAGGUGGUCAAUAACACCCUCUCACCAAAAUCUGUCAAUCAAUCAAUUCAAACUAAAUUCAGCAACAAUUCCACCUCUCUAUAUAUAGAGGUGGGAAAGUUCCUUAGAUCUCCUUGUGUUUUUUGUGGAAUUGAGAUGGGAAUCUUUUCUGGGGCUAAGAAAUGUAAGGAACAAGGUUUUCUGGAAGGAUGACUUUGGAGGUGGAAAUUGGGAAGAAGAAGCAAUGAGAAAUUGGAAGUGGAAUCCGUGAAAAAAAUCUGAUAUUGGAUUGUGUUAUUGUUGGCGCGUUUGUUUGGGUGAAAUAUUCUUAAACACGGGAGGAAAGAUGACUUUGGAGGUGGAAAUUGGGAAGAAGAAGCAAUGAGAAAUUGGAAGUGGAGUUUGUGAAAGAAAUCUGAUAUUGGAUUGGGUUAUUGUUGGCGCG
rnacentral:lncRNA from 1 species